rnacentral:rRNA from 1 species
UAAGUAGGUAGUGAAAUGAUGGGGCUCAACCCCAUGUCCAUUAUCUAAACUGCUCAGCUAGAGUAUGAGAGAGGUGGCUGGAAUUUCUAGUGUAGGAGUGAAAUCCGUAGAUAUUAGAAGGAACACCGAUGGCGUAGGCAGGCCACUGGCUCAUUACUGACGCUCAGGCACGAAAGCGUGGGGAGCGACCGGGAUUAGAUACCCCGUUAGUCCACGCCGUAAACGAUGGAUGCUA